rnacentral:rRNA from 1 species
UUUUUAUUGAGAGUUUGAUCCUGGCUCAGGACGAACGCUGGCGGCGUGCUUAACACAUGCAAGUCGAGCGAUGAAGCUUCUUCGGGAGUGGAUUAGCGGCGGACGGGUGAGUAACACGUGGGUAACCUGCCUCAUAGAGGGGAAUAGCCUUUCGAA